rnacentral:snoRNA from 1 species
CGUCUGGAGGAUGAUGAAGUGGCCUCCUACAUCGUGACGGGCCUCGACGAUGACUAUGACUCUAUCGUCACAUCUGUCUCCCGGAGGACAGAUCCGAUCUCCCUAAGUGAGCUCUAUUCACAGGUUGUUGCUCAUGA